GGAAGGAGGCAUGCCGCCAGCUCCCGAGGAGGGAUAUCCUGCGCUCCAGGAUCUGGAAGCCAGCCAAGCCAGGACGCACCCUGAUGCGCAGAUGGAGUAUGCACAGGAGGGAAACAGACCAGAGGAGCCCCCCGAAUCAGAGAACCCAGAGGUUAUGGCCACUCACAGCUGCCCAUGAAGUCAGCUUCUGCUACCAGGCGAUUAUAAGGAUUUGUGCUGAAUCUGAAUGCUGUUCUGGAUGUUAGCCAGCUCCCUGGGAAUGCUAUUCCUGAAAAGCCUUUGCAAUAUCUCUGUAGGAUGAAGGUAAGCCCAAUGGCUUAGGUCUCUGUAUCCUCAGUGGACUGAAGAAAUGAGAUGAGAUCAUAAACCACACAGACAAUCCUGAAGGUACUGGAGCAGAGUGGGAUAGAAUAGAACAAGAUCUUCCAGACCCCAGAAGAUAUCUCUAGGCCAGCUUAAACCAUCUCAGAUGAAAUAGCCUAUUUCAUGUCAGACCCCUGAGUUUGCCACUGUUAAAGUAGAAGAAUCAUCAGCCCCUGAAGAAUAAAGAAAGCAGCACUGGAGCGGUGGGAGAUCCAGACUGAAAGAGGUUCAGCUAGUCAGACUACUGGAAUAUGUGUUCACACACGACAGCACAGGGAGGAAGGUCUGUGAAGAGAAGAACAAAGUUGUGAGCUUACCUGUUUGGAAGUCCAUCCACAGGAGCCUGCUGUCACUGCCUGCAUCUGGUGCUUCAUCCUGUCAUGUCAGUGGGUGUCUAUAACCAAGCUGCAAGAUAUGUUAAAGAGCCAUCUGUGCUCUGAUUACCUGUCCUGUCUGGGUCAGGGCUUUAAGGUUUUUACAGCCGUUGCUGGGUUUGUAUUUGGUCCUCUAUAGUUAUAGUUUGGAAGCCCUUAGUGUUUAUCCCUUUAUUACUGUUUUAACUGUUGUGUUAUAAAUAAAGCCGUUAUUUUAAGUUUA